AACCUCCGCAAUGUGAGAAAUCGCGACGGGGGGAUCCCAAGUGCCAUUCGUUAACGGGAUGGCUUUUCAUUAGUGUAAAGAGCUUUUGGAAUAAGGGCUGGGCAAGACCGGUGCCAGCCGCCGCGGUAACACCGGCAGCUCUAGUGGUAGCAGUUUUUAUUGGGCCUAAAGCGUCCGUAGCCGGUUUAAUAAGUCUCUGGUGAAAUCCUGUAGCUUAACUGUGGGAAUUGCUGGAGAUACUAUUAGACUUGAGACCGGGAGAGGUUAGAGGUACUCCCAGGGUAGAGGUGAAAUUCUGUAAUCCUGGGAGGACCGCCUGUUGCGAAGGCGUCUAACUGGAACGGUUCUGACGGUGAGGGACGAAAGUUAGGGGCGCGAACCGGAUUAGAUACCCGGGUAGUCCUAACCGUAAACGAUGCGGACUUGGUGUUGGGGUGGCUUUGAGCUGCUCCAGUGCCGAAGGGAAGCUGUUAAGUCCGCCGCCUGGGAAGUACGGUCGCAAGACUGAAACUUAAGGAAUU
rnacentral:rRNA from 1 species